rnacentral:rRNA from 1 species
GUCGUGAGACAGUUCGGUCCCUAUCUGCCGUGGGCGCUGGAGAACUGAGGGGGGCUGCUCCUAGUACGAGAGGACCGGAGUGGACGCAUCACUGGUGUUCGGGUUGUCAUGCCAAUGGCACUGCCCGGUAGCUAAAUGCGGAAGAGAUAAGUGCUGAAAGCAUCUAAGCACGAAACUUGCCCCGAGAUGAGUUCUCCCUGAGACUUAGAGUCUCCUGAAGGAACGUUGAAGACGACGACGUUGAUAGGCCGGGUGUGUAAGCGCAGCGAUGCGUUGAGCUAACCGGUACUAAUGAACCGUGAGGCUUAACCUUAC